UCAGCUCUCUUUGCCUUUUGGCUUAGAUCAAGUGUAGUAACUGUUCUUGCUAGUUUAAUCUCUAGUACGCCCUACGGGGUACACUCACUUCUUUAGAUUAGUUUUUGGAACCUGAUCGGUGGCCGCUGAGCUCCGCUUAUGCCACUGAUCACAGUGUCGCCUGUAUUGCACUGUCUCGGGCUGAUGCGAACAACU
rnacentral:snRNA from 1 species